AGUCUGUCGGCAGCUCCCGUCGGCUGCGGAUGGUGCGGAGCCCUCCUCCGGUGUCAGGGUAUCUUGUUCUCUGUGGCAGCAUGGCAUUCUUCAGUUUGUCAGGUGAAGCGGGAGUGCUGUCUGUUGGUUUGUAGUUUCAGCAGGUGCGUUGCAAACUGGAGUUUGUGAGACCGUCAUUCAGAAGUGUGGCAUUCCUGUGGGGGUUAAGAAGCACACUGUGAAGUUUACAGUUCUUCAGGUUUGGAGUGGAGUUCCUUCCUGUGCUGGCUGAGGUCUGUGCUUUCCUGGAUUUUAGUUGUGUGUUCUAUAUGAGCAAUAUUGGGCUUUUUUUUUUUAAUUUUUGUGGAUUCUUUGUUGUAUAGCAUGUUUUCCUAUGUUUACUGUGGUUAUGAGAUUUUGUAAUUUUGCUGUAUGCACAUAAUAUGUAUUGGAGCAUGUAAAGGAUUUUUUUGGAUAUAUACUGACUAUGUCUUGUUUUUAUGGUAUUUUUGCCUGGUAGUAAAAAAUACAAACUGUUAAAUAGGCUUGAAUGUGAUAUUUUGGAGUUGCAUU